rnacentral:tRNA from 1 species
GAGGGUGUAGCGCAGAAGUACAGCAUGUGCCUAGCAUGCACAAGGUCCUGGGUUCAAUCCCCAGUACCUCCA